GUCCAGCCCACCCAGCUUCUCUCUGGAGCUUUGGAGAGCCUGGUAGUGGAGCCAGAUGGAAUCCAUAGCUCCUGCCUGCUCUGAGGGCCCUACCCUCUGUGGGGUCCCCAGCAGACUGCAGACUGGGCCAUCUUAGGUGAUGCAGCCGGGGCCUGAAGAUGCAGCCUCAUCGGCCCUCUUCACCAAAGACGAUUCACGAGGCAGCUAUUACUAGACUCUAGACAUCAUGAGGGCAUGAUCCCGGUCCCUCUUUUCAGAGGUGUCCCCCUCAGAACCUAGGACAGCACCUGGCACUCAGAAGGCGUUCAGGAAAUGUUUGUUGACUGACAGUUUGAGUGGCCCAAGUCCUGUCCCCUCCUGGCCACUCCACCAUACAAAUCUUCUGGUGGUCUGCAUGCCUCCCAGACAGAGGGGAGCCUGGAUCUGAGCUCGAGAGGAGGAGAGUGGGUCUGUCCCCUCCCUGCUCCAUGCAUCAUGCCUCUAUUAAUGCAGCCUGAGGUACUGCUGGAUUUUCAGGCUACACAUCAUGCUGAGGACUGACAGUCACUGAGGCUGGUUGUUGUUGCCUCUUGCUCUGGGACUGGUGCUGGGGGUGCAGAGGCUGAGAGUAACAAGGAGCGGGCAGGAGAGACAGAGAUGAGGAUGGCUCACAGGCUGAUGGAGAGACAAGGGAGAUGGGCAGUUUCCUGAGAGCCAACCUGUGGAUGGGGCAGGGAGUUCUGGGCCCUUGAGUGGUCAUUGGGGUUCACAGAGCCAGCUCCCUUCGGGAUGGCAGAGGUCAGCUCCCUCUUCCACCUCUGCUCUGCCUCCACGAGGACAGCCUCUGUCUUCCCUCAAGGGCCCCUUUAGGGCUGAGCUUGGCACCCCUUUGACCUUCCCCAAAGAAUCCCGUGCCCAAGGGUAUCAGUGAGCAUCCAGGACUUCCCUGGAGAUGCUAAGGGAGAUGAGAGCAGUCGCUCCUUAGACCCACCCGCACGGCAACAACGGAAGAGACAGGCAAGGCAGUGUGGGUUGGAAUGGGGAGCAGCCGGGUCUCUCCCUUGCAGCUGGGGGAGUGUGAACUUGCACAGCUCCGGGAGAAAGCUGUUUUGCAGUGUCUGCUAAAGCUAACCCUAGGCACGCUCGGGUCCAAGAAUCCCACUCCUGGGUACAGACCCAAUGGAAAUGUGUUGAACAUAUGUUCAACAGAAGAAAGUUCAGAGCAGAACCAUACAUGAUAGCCAAAAAUGGAAACUACUCGGAGGCCCUCCCAGGUGGACUAGGCAAGGAACUCGUGGACCAGCCAUGCAGUGGAAUCCUCUACAGCAGAGAACCAAGAGGCUACAGCUACGUGCCACAUGCACGGCCGAGUCUGGUGGACAAACUGCUGGGUGAAAGAAGCCAGACACAAGAGCGCAUCUGCGUGACUCCCAU
rnacentral:lncRNA from 1 species